GUGAUGAUGAGAAACGCCCUGCGUUUUACCCGAAGAAAGCGCCUCGGAAAUCUGGGAAAUCUAGAGCUGCAGAAGAGGCACAGUGGCACUCCCAUGUGUAGCGGAGAAACGCGUAGAUAUAUGGAAGAACACCAGUGGCGAAGGCGGCUGUCUGGUCUGUAACUGACGCUGAGGCUCGAAAGCAUGGGUAGCGAACAGGAUUAGAUACCCUGGUAGUCCAUGCCGUAAACGAUGAAUGCUAGGUGUUGGAGGGUUUCCGCCCUUCAGUGCCGCAGCUAACGCAUUAAGCAUUCCGCCUGGGGAGUACGACCGCAAGGUUGAAACUCAAAGGAAUUGACGGGGGCCCGCACAAGCGGUGGAGCAUGUGGUUUAAUUCGAAGCAACGCGAAGAACCUUACCAGGUCUUGACAUCUUUUGAUCACCUGAGAGAUCAGGUUUCCCCUUCGGGGGCAAAAUGACAGGUGGUGCAUGGUUGUCGUCAGCUCGUGUCGUGAGAUGUUGGGUUAAGUCCCGCAACGAGCGCAACCCUUAUGACUAGUUGCCAGCAUUUAGUUGGGCACUCUAGUAAGACUGCCGGUGACAAACCGGAGGAAGGUGGGGAUGACGUCAAAUCAUCAUGCCCCUUAUGACCUGGGCUACACACGUGCUACAAUGGAUGGUACAACGAGUUGCGAGACCGCGAGGUCAAGCUAAUCUCUUAAAGCCAUUCUCAGUUCGGACUGUAGGCUGCAACUCGCCUACACGAAGUCGGAAUCGCUAGUAAUCGCGGAUCAGCACGCCGCGGUGAAUACGUUCCCGGGCCUUGUACACACCGCCCGUCACACCAUGAGAGUUUGUAACACCCGAAGCCGGUGGCGUAACCCUUUUAGGGAGCGAGCCGUCUAAGUGACAAGAUGGGAG
rnacentral:rRNA from 1 species